CUUCCUGCCAGCCAGAUUUCUAGGUUCAUCACCCAUAGUUGAAAGUAGAUUUCCAAAAAAAGUCAGCUUCCAAAAGCUUUCUUCAAGACUCAGUGGCCAGACCUGUGGAAGAAAACUGGAAAUGACUGCAGAGGUGUACUGGGUUGCUGUUUUCUGAUGUUCCUUGGCGUACAGGCAAGAUUGUAAAAGGAAACCCACACUUUGUAUUGAAGAACAUGCCUUACUUCCAAAUAAUUGUUUUGAUUUAAAAAAUAAAUAAAAAUUAUAAUGCCUUUUUGGCCUCUCU
rnacentral:lncRNA from 1 species